rnacentral:rRNA from 1 species
GUCCACACUGUAACGUUGAUUACUCGCUGUGUGCGAUAUACAGUACGCGGCUUAGCGAAGCGAUAAGUAAUCCACCUGGGGAGUACGCCGGCAACGGUGAACUCAAGGAAUUGACGGGGUCCGCACAAGCGGUGGAGCAUGUGGUUUAAUUCGAUGAUACGCGAGGAACCUUACCUGGGCUAGAAUGCCCUUGAUGGGUCCGGAGACGGAUCGUUCCGCAAGGACAAGGAGCAAGGUGCUGCAUGGCUGUCGU